rnacentral:lncRNA from 1 species
GGGUUUUGACCAAAACAGAUUUUGAUGACUGACCGGACCGUUUCUGCGACCGAUCGACGGUUCAACCGGUGGGUCAAUCUGUGUUUUAAAACCAUACAACUUACAACUAGAUACAGAGACUUGAGAGAUAUUUGCCCACCCAGAGUCGUUAGGAUGCGAUUCCCGAACUCCAACCUUGAUCUUUCUCAGCCUUGCCAGCAUCUCAAAAACUGUAAAACAGCCAAUAAAACAAAUCACAGACCGCAAAAUAACUUUUGCAGACAGUGUUUCCAAAACUACGAUUCAAGCCAGAACAAGAAGUUCAGAAACAUGUCCAUUCAGAAAUAUGACCUUCCAAAUAUGAUCAACAGAACACAUUGUCUGCUUUAGAUUUUAAUAGCUUCACCACAAAUUAGUCAGAUAUGAAUAAAGGUUGUCCAAAUGCCCCUCAGUUGAAUAAGAACCAAAAUGAG